AAUCGGACAAUUCACACAAAAAUGUAUAUUCAAUGACAUGCAAAAUACUAUAGUAUGUAAAAUGAAUAAGCUAGUUUUCACACAUCGCUAGUGUAUCACAACGACCUCGUCAGGAAAGACUGCAGCAUGUGUAUGUAGAACGUGUCUAAUGCUGUAAGAAGGAAGCUCUAGAAUUAGACAUCUUCUAUCAAAUUAAAAAAAUCUCCCCAUAAGAGUCACCUAAGGAGAAUCACGUAAAGAGAGUCACCUAAGAGUGAUCCUCACAUCUAACCAUUUUCCAAAAGGAACUAUUUUUUUUUAAAUAGUCAGGAGAAAAAAAAAAAUACAAAAUCAGUGCCUGAACAAGAUAUCACAUGACCACAGUGGUGCUUUAUAACUGUGAAAACCAAAAAGCAGAACUUCAGGUCCAGUCCACUUGAAGCAACAACGUCCAAUAACCUUACGUUCAACUCCAGCAAUAUGGACUUUUCUGGCAAAUUUCAGACAGGAAUAGAAUUUGGAGAGAUGGAUCUGUAUUUGAUGUCAAUACAGAAAGAGAGUACAUGAAUACUGAGAGAUAUCGGACACCUCAAAACACAGGUACUGAGACUCAUUGUAUUAUAAUUACAACUGUCAGUUUAUGUCUAAGCAAAUCACCGUUUGAACUGCACAUACAAUUGCUAAUGUGAAAACUGUAAUGCGGACCUGGGAAUGCAUCAUGGUACUAAACCUAAGACUUCCUAUAGACAUACAUCAGAGCUGGCCUGAGUUUGAGUUGGCUUGAUUUACAAGAAUGUGAAAGCAAACUCAAACUCACUUGUUAGUAUACAUUAGAUUAGUAAUAUGUGCCCUUAAGUGCUACUAUGAAUUAUUUAGGGGUACAUUUUGUGAUGUCAAGAUGACUACAAAUGCAUGGGGCUUGAGACAACACUGCAGAAGGUACUGAAUUUGAAUUUGGACCACAACAAAUCUGUCCCGUGUGAAAGCACACAAACUGACAUAUUUAAGUCAUAAGAGAGUUUAAGAAACAUUAAUCUUCAUAUAUGUCAUCUUCUUUUUAGUGAGGAUCAGAAACUACAGAGCAGCUGUAGUGUGUUUGGUUCUGCUGUGUGUUGUUCUGCUGUUCUGUUCUUCUUCAUAGUGCUGUGUUGGCAAAGACUUAACCCUCACAUGGUUUACCAGGCUAAGGACACAAAACAAGAAUGAGCACAACUGACAAUGGAAGGCGUCGAGCCAUUCACUCUCUAAAGAAGCCAAGUGCUGCAUACUUCAACACAUCUACAUGGGAACACGUAACGUAAUUGUUUAAUAAUUGAUGAUUAAAGAGCAAACAUGUCUGAUGCCAUUUACGAUGAUGUCAUCAGAGCUGAGGACAUGAAGAGAGAUAGAGUGGAGAUGACAGUGGAUAUCCUAUGAGAGUGCAGAUUCUGUCAGGGAUCAUGACUUCACGACAAAGACAAACAAACCCCCACAAACAAAAAAAGCCCCACCACAUCAGCAGACAGGAAGUGAUUCAGUGAAGAUCAGAAGCUCCAGAACAGCUGUAGUGUGUUUGGUUCUGCUGUGUGUUCUUUUGCUGACUGCAGUCAUAGUGCUGUGUGUCCACAUCUAUAAUAAGAGCACACACUGCACCAAACUCACAGAAGAAAGAAAUGGC